UGGAAAAGAGUGCCAUGGAUCUUGUUUACUGUUCCAUCAAUCCAUUAGAUAUUUCUGUAGUGCUGUUUGUUUCUUUAAUUUGACAUUGCCACUUGUAUGUCUUGUGAAGUACCAUUUGAAUACCAGGGCAACUGAGAUUUUGGCACACACUGUUGACAGCUGUUUUGGAACUACAAAUAUGAUGUGUGCUACAUCUGAGGUGGAGGUAUCAGACUGUGGAAUAGGAGUGUCAGACAUAGUGAUGGUACUCUGGGUCCCUGAACUGGUGGGUGACCAUUCAAAUAUGGGAACUUCAGUAUAGGUGGCAAGUUUUUCUCAAGACUUAAUGUACAGGAUCAUGAGAGCAACUGAUAAAGCUAAAAAUAAGGAUUUUUUUUUUCAAUUAAAAAUGGACACAGUGAUAUUUUAAAUGUCAAAGAAAUUAUAAUUCAGGC